rnacentral:lncRNA from 1 species
GUGGACAUCAGAAGGGAGAAGGAAAAGAAGAAGGACGAGAAGAAGCUGGAGGGAGAGAAUUGAAAAAGAGCUAGAGGAAAGAGAAAUUCCUCCAGGUCUAUGGCUAAACAGAGAAGAAUGGCGGUUAGGAGUCGGAAGGCGUCGGAGAACGCUGUAAACCGAUAGUAGUAGUAGUUAAAAAAUAUACUUUUUGUCAGGAGCGUGCGGUGAAAUUUGAAACAGGGGAAGCAAUUUAUAAAAAAAUUGUAAAAAGUCCUAUUUAUAAUGUAAUUCAAUUCUUCUACCUGAACGAAAAUUUCGGUCAUCAAAAUUCUUAAACCUAUUUUCCAUUCGUUGGCAUAUUUGAUUUAAAAUCUGAUAGUAUAGCCAGCCGUAGCACGAUUGGACAUCUCCAACAUUAUCAGUGCGUAUGCCUUUCCUUUUAGGCUCAAAACUUCUUGCCAUCAUAUUAUUCCAGCAUUUUUCAAAGUCAUCUAUCUCUUUCUGUUAAUAACAACUUUAAAUUCGCUAAUUUUUUUUACAAAAUAACCAAUCUCGUUAUAUUUCUGAAAAAAAGCAAAGUUAAAAAAAACUCCAAAAAUCCUCUCGAGCUAUUUAUGGUUUCUGUAUCCCACUUUUCACAUUUUCGGCAUUCUCCAAAACCUUAAUACAUAUAUAUUUAUAAUAUAUUUAUAUAAAUAUUUAGUAUUUAUAAUAUAAAUAAUUCUAUAUAUUUAUUUAUAUAACUAAUUAAAUAAAAUCAAUCUUCAUAAUUCCACAAAAUCAGUCAACGAAGCCCAUCAUUGUCAAAUGCUGGUAAAUUCCAUUAAAAUUCACGAAAACAGCUCCUUGUAUGCAGUUGACAAAAUUGCUCAUAAGCGAUACAUAUGCCCGAAAUUUGAACUCACCACUCUGCGUGUAACUACGGUGAUUUUUAUAUAGGCUGAGGAGAAGCAAAUUUGAAAUCAGAUUAUCUGCCGACAUGACUCCGAAUACCAACGUAGAAAUACGAUCAAAUACGGAACGAAAGCUAUUAGAUAUGCAGCAUGCAGCGCUGCUUACGAGUAUUUCAUUGCUUUGUUAUUUACUAUAAUAUGACAAAAAUAGAGUAAAAUACGUAUGUUUUUUCUUAUUACUUACUGCUUGUAUUACAUAAUUAAAUAUUCUCGUAUGCAACUUAAACUCCUGCUUAUUAUGUGUUUGUUCAUUUUUUUUUAAAUAAUCUCAGUUACUCAGUUGGUACGAUAUUACCGACGGAAACCAAGGGAAGCAAUGCUUCCCUUGAUUCUAUGGACCGCAUGCCCCUGCUUUUUUUCCAAACCACUACUGACAUUUUUCUUAUUUAAAAAUUCGAUAUAUAGAGUUUAUACCAUUUUGUCUAUUAAAAAUUCACAAACUUACCUAACAAAAGUUUUUACAAAAUGUUUAAAGUUUUCUUUAUAACAGUAAUAAAUAAUUGUAGAAGUGCUUUAUAUACUUUAUAUAUACUAAUAAUAACAGUCGGCAUCAAUAAAGUAAUUUUCUUAACAGGGUUGUUAAAAUUGUUAAUUUGUAAUAAUGUAAAAUGAGUAAAUUGUUUAAUCGAGAGGUUUAGUUAUGUUUUUUUUUUAUUUUAUUCGAUUAAAAGUUGCCAAUUCAUUUGUGUUCAUUUAUUAUCUAUUUAAAUGAUUAUGGACUGGUUUAGAAUCAAAAUUUCGAAAAAAAAAA